AUUGAGUUGACUGCUUUUAUGUAGGAUUCACUAAAAGUGUUAGGGGGGCUGAUAUGAAUGCUUUGAUGUAAUCUACUGUGUUAUUCUACUGUGCUGAUGAGUACCUAGACAGAGAGAGGUUCUACUGUGUUGUUCUACUGUGCUGAUGAGUACCUAGACAGAGAGAGGUUCUAUUGUGGUCUAGUGUGUUCUACUGUGCUGAUGAGUGCCUGGACAGAGAGAGGUUCUACUGUGGUCUAGUGUGUUCUACUGUGCUGAUGAGUGCCUGGACAGAGAGAGGUUCUACUGUGUUGUUCUACUUUGUUGAUGAGUACGUGGACAGAGAGGGGUUCUACUCUGUUGUUCUACUGUGUGUUUGUACUGUGUUGAUGAGUGAUGAGUACCUGGACAGAGAGAGGUUGUUGUCGAUGCGGGCCUUCAGGUCCUCGUUCUGCUGCUGCAGCACCUGCACCUUGUCCUCCAGGAACACGUUCUUCUGGGCCUGAAGCCCCACCAACACAACAAGAGCUGUCAGCCACCACAACUCAAGCUCCGGCUCACCGCUGACGUUUAACUCAGGAGCACAGAAUAGGACAACAUGGUAUAAACACGGUUUGGUUGGAGACUUUUGGAUCCAAGGGCUUGGGCUCAUUAACCCCUGGGCGAGGCUCAUGCUUUUAAGACACACCCAUGGGGCGGGGCUAGUAUUUUCAAGACACACCCUCAUUUUGUAGCAACACUUGAGUCACUAGUUUUCGGUCAAGGACAUUUGUAUUUUAAGUAUUUAAUGAGGAGAAACAAUACUUAAGCUGGAGCUU